ACUAGAAUUUCCACUAGUAACGGCGAGUGAAGUUGGAAGUUAGUCCGAACUUUAAAAGUGUUAUGUUAAUUUAAUAUAUGCACUGAUGUAGUUCCAAGAUUUAUUGGUACCGGGUUUCCUACCAUCUAAGUUGACACGGACUUGUCCGACAGAGAGGGUGAAAUUCCCGUCUAGAUGUGUUAUUAGGAGGCCCCAGACUAAUAUAAUCUGAGAGUCGAGUUGCUUGGGAUUGCAGCUUUAAGGUGGAGGUAAAUUCCUUCAAAGACUAAAUAAAGUUGAAUGACCGAUAGCGAACAAGUACCGUGAGGGAAAGUUGAAAAGAACUCCGGAAGGAGGAUCAAAAGAGCGUGAAAUUGUACAGAGGGAAACGCUUGGAUGCUCAGUAUUUGCAAGUGUUAAUCUCUCCAAGUUUAAGAAAAAUUUAUUUUUCUUUACUGGAGGUCAAGAUUACAUUUGUAGAAGCCUAUUGCUAUUAGAUUUAAUGCGUGUUGUGAGUUGGAACUAUCGAGGGGAAAAUAUUUUUUCUUGAGAUUUUGGAAUUCGCAAGUUUUCCUUAAUCCACCUUGGGUUCAGUUAAGUUCCCAUGUAUAAGUCGGCAGUAAGAUGGAGAGUAUCUUGUAAGUCUUUUUGAGCUCAUUAGGUUGAAAGUUGCGAUGCUACCUUGCAAAAGGCCAAGUAUUUAGCUAUCUUCUAAAGAAAGCCUUGUAGCUCAAAUAAAAGCUGGAUACUUUUUUUUUACAAUAUGGCUAAGCAGCAGUCAAGCGACCCGUCUUGAAACACGGACCAAGGAGUCUAACAUGUUAGCAAGUCUUAGGGCCUAGUAACCCCUCUGGCAAAAUGAAAGUGAUAUGGGAUCCGAUUCUGACGUGAGAAUUUUAUUCUCACAAGAUUGGAUGCAGGAUUAGCCAAACUUAUUAACAAUAGUUGUUGAGUUUGCGCAAGAGCAAAUAUGUUGGGACCCGAAAGAUGGUGAACUAUACUUGAAUAGGGUGAAGUCAGGGGAAACUCUGAUGGAGGCUCGUAGCGAUUCUGACGUGCAAAUCGAUCGUCAAAUUUGAGUAUAGGGGCGAAAG
rnacentral:rRNA from 1 species